UCCUGGAUAGCUCAGUUGGUAGAGCAUGAGACUCUUAAUCUCAGGGCUGUGAGUUCCAGCCCCAUGUUGGGCA